rnacentral:snoRNA from 1 species
GUGCAUCUAUUAGACAGACCUAGAGCAGUUACUGUCUGCUGCUAAGGUUUCCACUACAGAUGUGAGAAAAAGGUAUUCCCAUGUUUCUGUCUGAUUGUGCCAGCCAAGAUGGAAUGGUAGAAUACAGAA